rnacentral:rRNA from 1 species
CCUACGGGCGGCAGCAGUGAGGAAUAUUGGUCAAUGGACGAAAGUCUGAACCAGCCAAGUAGCGUGAAGGAUGACUGCCCUAUGGGUUGUAAACUUCUUUUAUAUGGGAAUAAAAUGUUCCACGUGUGGGUUUUUGUAUGUACCAUAUGAAUAAGGAUCGGCUAACUCCGUGCCAGCAGCCGCGGUAAUACGGAGGAUCCGAGCGUUAUCCGGAUUUAUUGGGUUUAAAGGGGGCGUAGGUGGAUUGUUAAGUCAGUGGUGAAAGUUUGCGGCUCAACCGUGGAAUUGCAGUUGACACUGGCGGUCUUGAGUACAGAAGAGGUGGGCGGAAUGCAUGGUGUAGCGGUGAAAUGCUGAGAUAUCACGAAGAACACCGAUUGCGAAGGCAGUUGACUGGACUGCAACUGACGCUGAGGCUCGAAAGUGUGGGUAUCAAACAGGAUUAGAUACCCCAGUAGUC